rnacentral:lncRNA from 1 species
AUGCAUUGUUACACACUGCACUAUACAUUGUUACACACUGCACUAUACAUUGUUACACACUGUACUAUACAUUGUUACACACUGCACUAUUGUUACACACUACUACACACUGUAGUACACAUUGUUACACACUGCACGAUACAUUGUUACACACUGUACUACACAUUGUUACACACUGCACUACGCAUUGUUACACACUGCACUACGCAUUGUUACACACUGCACUACGCAUUGUUACAGACUGCACUACACAUUGUUACACACUGCACUACACAUUGUUACACACUGCACUAUACAUUGUUAAACACUGCACUACGCAUUGUUACACACUGCACUAUGCAUUGUUACACACUGCACUAUGCAUUGUUACACACUGCACUAUACAUUGUUACACAUACAUUGUUACACACUGUACUACACAUUGUUACACAUUGCACUACGCAUUGUUACACACUGCACUACACAUUGUUACACACUGCACUACGCAUUGUUACACACUGCACUACGCAUUGUUACACACUGCACUACGCAUUGUUACACACUGCACUAUGCAUUGUUACACACUGCACUACACAUUGUUACACACUGCACUAUACAUUGUUACACACUGCACUAUACAUUGUUACACAUACAUUGUUACACACUGCACUACGCAUUGUUACACACUGCACUACACAUUGUUACACACUGCACUACACAUUGUUACACACUGCACUACGCAUUGUUACACACUGCACUACGCAUUGUUACACACUGCACUAUGCAUUGUUACACACUGCACUACACAUUGUUACACACUGCACUAUGCAUUGUUACACACUGCACUAUACAUUGUUACACACUGCACUAUACAUUGUUACACAUACAUUGUUACACACUGUACUACACAUUGUUACACACUGCACUACGCAUUGUUACACACUGCACUACGCAUUGUUACACACUGUACUACGCAUUGUUACACACUGCACUACGCAUUGUUACACACUGCACUACGCAUUGUUACACACUGCACUACGCAUUGUUACACACUGCUACACACUGCACUAUACAUUGUUACACACUGUACUAUACAUUGUUACACACUGCACUAUUGUUACACACUGUACUACACAUUGUUACACACUGCACUACACAUUGUUACACACUGCACUAUACAUUGUUACACACUGUACUACGCAUUGUUACAUACUGCACUACGCAUUGUUACACACUGUACUACACACUGUUACAUACUGUACUACACACUGUACUACACACUGUUCUACACACUGUACUACACACUGUACUACACACUGUUACAUACUGUACUACACACUGUACUACACACUGUUACAUACUGUACUACACACUGUACUACACACUGUACUCCACACUGUUCUACACACUGUACUACACACUGUUCUACACACUGUACUACACACUGUACUGCACACUGUUCUACACACUGUACUACACACUGUACUACACACUGUUACAUACUGUACUACACACUGUACUACACACUGUACUACACACUGUUACAUACUGUACUACACACUGUACUACACACUGUACUGCACACUGUACUACACACUGUACUACACACUGUUCUACACACUGUACUGCACACUGUACUACACACUGUACUACACACUGUUACAUACUGUACUACACACUGUACUACACACUGUUCUACACACUGUACUACACACUGUACUACACACUUGCUGA